rnacentral:lncRNA from 1 species
CAGGACGGUGACGAUGAUAAGAGCAAAAACAGUUUCUUCUUUGGUUCGGCCGACCUCUUCCCAAUCAAGACGAAAACAGACUCUCCCACUGCAGCUAGCGUAUAUGGCAGGGAGCAAAAACCCUUCUUCGACUCUGUUCCAAGCACUCCAGCUGGCGUAUAUGGCAGGGAGCCAAAAACCUUCUUCGACUCUGUUCCAAGCACUCCAGCUAGCGUAUAUGGCAGGGAGCAAAAAACCUUCUUUGACUCUGUUCCAAGCACUCCAGCAUACAACUCCGUCUUUUCACCGCGGUUUAGUGAAGCGGGCGAUGACCACUCCUUCGACAACUUCUCCACUUUUGACUCCUUUGGUACGAACGAGAACAGCUUAUUCAACAGCAACAGCG